AAACCAACAGGGAUUGCCUCAGUAACGGCGAGUGAAGCGGCAAAAGCUCAAAUUUGAAAUCUAGUACCUUCGGUGCUCGAGUUGUAAUUUGAAGAUAGUUUUCUGGCACUGGCCCUUGUCUAUGUUCCUUGGAACAGGACGUCAUAGAGGGUGAGAAUCCCGUCUGAUGGGGUGUCCAGUGCUUUGUAGAUUUCUAUCGAAGAGUCGAGUUGUUUGGGAAUGCAGCUCUAAGUGGGUGGUAAAUUCCAUCUAAAGCUAAAUACUGGCGAGAGACCGAUAGCGAACAAGUACAGUGAUGGAAAGAUGAAAAGAACUUUGAAAAGAGAGUGAAAAAGUACGUGAAAUUGUUGAAAGGGAAGGGUAUUGGAUCAGACUUGGUGUUUUGUGAUUAUCUUCCCUUCUUGGGUUGUGCACUCGCAUUUCACCGGGCCAGCAUCGGUUUGGGUGGCAAGAUAAUGGCAAGAGAACGUGGCACUGUUUCGGCGGUGUGUUAUAGCUCUUGUUGAUGUUGCCUACCUAGACCGAGGACUGCGGCUUCUGCCUAGGAUGCUGGCGUAAUGAUUCAAUACCGC
rnacentral:rRNA from 1 species